rnacentral:rRNA from 1 species
AGUGAACGCUGGCGGCGUGCUUAACACAUGCAAGUCGAACGAGAACGGAAUAUAGCUUGCUAUAUUUGUCAGCUAAGUGGCGCACGGGUGAGUAAUGUAUAGAUAACCUGCCCUUAAGAAAGGAAUAACAGUCGGAAACGACUGCUAAUGCCCUAUAUGCCUUUAGUACAUAAGUAUGCAAGGGAAACGCUUUAGUGCUUAAGGAUGGGUCUGUAUGGUAUCAGCUUGUUGGUGAGGUAAUGGCUCACCAAGGCUAUGACGCCUAACUGGUUUGAGAGGAUGAUCAGUAACACUGGAACUGAGACACGGUCCAGACUCCUACGGGAGGCAGCAGUGGGGAAUAUUGCACAAUGGACGAAAGUCUGAUGCAGCAACGCCGCGUGGAGGAUGACACAUUUCGGUGCGUAAACUCCUUUUAUAUAGGAAGAUAAUGACGGUACUAUAUGAAUAAGCACCGGCUAACUCCGUGCCAGCAGCCGCCGUAAAAC